rnacentral:lncRNA from 1 species
UUUAGACCACCUAGAAGCUAUUAUCAUCCUAUGAGAAUGCAUAAUCCAAAUGUCAUUUGUCAUUAUUGUAAUAAGAUAGGACAUAUAGCUCCGGUCUGCUUCACUAGACAUAGAAAUCUCACGAUUAAACAAUCACACUACCACUUUGCACCUAACACCCAAGGACCCAAAAUGGCUUGGGUACCAAAAUCUCAUUGAUUUUGUAUGUAGGUAUGCUUGAAGGC